AUUGAACGCUGGCGGCAUGCUUUACACAUGCAAGUCGAACGGCAGCGCGGGGCAACCUGGCGGCGAGUGGCGAACGGGUGAGUAAUACAUCGGAACGUACCCAGAAGUGGGGAUAACGUUGCGAAAGUUACGCUAAUACCGCAAACGUUCUUCGGAAGAAAGUGGGGGACCUUCGGGGCUCAUUCUUUUUGGGCGGCCGAGGUCUGAUUAGCUAGUUGGUGAGGUAAAGGCUCACCAAGGCGACGAACAGUAGCUGGUCUGAGAGGACGACCAGCCACACUGGGACUGAGACACGGCCCAGACUCCUACGGGAGGCAGCAGUGGGGAAUUUUGGACAAUGGGCGCAAGCCUGAUCCAGCAAUGCCGCGUGAGUGAAGAAGGCCUUCGGGUUGUAAAGCUCUUUUGUCAGGGAAGAAACGGCUGAGGAUAAUACCUUCGGCUAAUGACGGUACCUGAAGAAUAAGCACCGGCUAACUACGUG
rnacentral:rRNA from 1 species